rnacentral:rRNA from 1 species
AACGCUGGCGGUAUGCUUAACACAUGCAAGUCGAACGUAAGUUUUAACUUAAGUGGCGGACGGGUGAGUAACACGUGAGAAUUUACCCUUAGGAGGGGGAUAACCGUAGGAAACAACGGCUAAAACCCCAUAUACUUUUAGGUUGUAUAACUUGAGUAGUAAAAUUAGAUGUUUCUGCCUAAGAAAAAGCUCGCGGCUGAUUAGCUAGUUGGUUGGGUAAAGGCUUACCAAGGCGACGAUCAGUAUCUGGGUUUGAGAGGACGAUCAGACACACUGGAACUGAGAUACGGUCCAGACUUC